rnacentral:rRNA from 1 species
CCUACGGGUGGCAGCAGUAAAGAAUAUUGGGCAAUGGGCGAAAGCCUGACCCAGCAACGCCGCGUGAGGGACGAAGGCCUUCGGGUCGUAAAGCUCUGUCAGAGGGGAAGAAAUGCAGGUGGUGAACAACCAUUCUGUUUGACGGUACCCUCAAAGGAAGCACCGGCUAACUCCGUGCCAGCAGCCGCGGUAAUACGGAGGGUGCGAGCGUUGUUCGGAAUUAUUGGGCGUAAAGCGCGUGUAGGCGGUUUGUUAAGUCUGAUGUAAAAGCCCCGGGCUCAACCUGGGAAGUGCAUUGGAUACUGGCAGACUUGAGUACGGGAGAGGAGAGUGGAAUUCCCAGUGUAGGAGUGAAAUCCGUAGAUAUUGGGAGGAACACCGGUGGCGAGGGCGGCUCUCUGGACCGAUACUGACGCUGAGACGCGAAAGCGUGGGGAGCAAACAGGAUUAGAUCCCCGGGUAGU